rnacentral:rRNA from 1 species
UACUCCUGAGGUGGCGAGCGGCGGACGGGUGAGUAAUGCCUAGGGAUCUGCCCAGUCGAGGGGGAUAACAGUUGGAAACGACUGCUAAUACCGCAUACGCCCUACGGGGGAAAGGAGGGGACCUUCGGGCCUUCCGCGAUUGGAUGAACCUAGGUGGGAUUAGCUAGUUGGUGAGGUAAUGGCUCACCAAGGCGACGAUCCCUAGCUGUUCUGAGAGGAUGAUCAGCCACACUGGGACUGAGACACGGCCCAAACUCCUACGGGAGGCAGCAGUGGGGAAUAUUGCACAAUGGGGGAAACCCUGAUGCAGCCAUGCCGCGUGUGUGAAGAAGGCCUUCGGGUUGUAAAGCACUUUCAGUAGGGAGGAAAGGGUGUAACUUAAUACGUUAUAUCUGUGACGUUACCUACAGAAGAAGGACCGGCUAACUCCGUGCCAGCAGCCGCGGUAAUACGGAGGGUCCGAGCGUUAAUCGGAAUUACUGGGCGUAAAGCGUGCGCAGGCGGUUUGUUAAGCGAGAUGUGAAAGCCCUGGGCUCAACCUAGGAAUAGCAUUUCGAACUGGCGAACUAGAGUCUUGUAGAGGGGGGUAGAAUUCCAGGUGUAGCGGUGAAAUGCGUAGAGAUCUGGAGGAAUACCGGUGGCGAAGGCGGCCCCCUGGACAAAGACUGACGCUCAUGCACGAAAGCGUGGGGAGCAAACAGGAUUAGAUACCCUGGUAGUCCACGCCGUAACGAUGUCUACUCGGAGUUUGGUGUCUUGAACACUGAGCUCUCAAGCUAACGCAUUAAGUAGACCGCCUGGGGAGUACGGCCGCAAGGUUAAAACUUCAAAUGAAUUGACGGGGGCCCGCACAAGCGGUGGAGCAUGUGUUAUUUCGAUGCAACGCGAAGAACCUUAACCUACUCUUGACAUCCAGAAGAAUCGCUAGAGAUAGCUUAGUGCCUU